rnacentral:rRNA from 1 species
UACGAAGGGUGCAAGCGUUAAUCGGAAUUACUGGGCGUAAAGUGCGCGUAGGUGGUUCAGUAAGUUGGAAGUGAAAUCCCCGGGCUCAACCUGGGAACUGCUUUCAAAACUGCUGAGCUAGAGUACGGUAGAGGGUGGUGGAAUUUCCUGUGUAGCGGUGAAAUGCGUAGAUAUAGGAAGGAACACCAGUGGCGAAGGCGACCACCUGGACUGAUACUGACACUGAGGUGCGAAAGCGUGGGGAGCAAACAGG